GCUCCCCCUGAACUCAGCGUGCUUGUAAACCAAAUUGGUUACAACAGGCGGUGACGUGGUUUUCUUGUUUGACUCCUGCCGUGUUUCUAAGUUUUCACGUGAUUUUGUUUGACUCUGCCAGACCAGGUUGGGAGCUCCAUCAUCAUCUUCUUCCUCGCCAACGUAUAUCAAAUGCAGUUCUUCGGCCCAGCAAAGCGCCUGAGGAGGAGGAGCCAGCGAGGAGCCAGGGGUGAGCAGCCCUUUGCUUUAUGAACCACAGUGUGGGACCUCUCUCCCAUGCCUCUCCCCUGGAUGGGGGCUCCAUCUCGAUUGCUCACAUCUCAGGAUGAGCCACGUUUCUCCUUGUGAGACGGUAAAUGACAUUCAAGAAAUAACCUUGAGUCUUAAAAGCCCUCCAGAAGAAACGCUGCUCGGGUUGGGUGGCGACUUCUGGCAAGCGUUCAGUAGUUGUCAUCAUCAUCAUCAUUACCACUGAAGAAUGGGCGGUGUGAGUCAUCAAGGCACAAGUCAGACAGACUUGUCUAGGAGCCCCCGUGACUGAAUCAAGCUGCUAUCCUCUCUAGGUCCAGUUCCUCACCUGUAACAUAAAAUUUUAAAUGAUACGUGUGGCUCGCAUUAUAGUUCUUUUGGACAGCGCUGGCCUGUGGGACGGUGUAAAGAUUAAGAAUGCAGCUAUGAGAGUCCAACUGCCUGAAUUCUGUUAAAGGAAAAAUUAUUCUGACACUUGUUAAAGUGACUCAGCAGAUCUUUGUUAAGACUGGGCUGGAGAGGCCCCGGGAGUUUGGUCAAGGAGAGAGUCUGUCAAUGCAAAUCCCAGCUCUGUCACUGUGCAGCCGUGGGGCCUUUUGAAACUGGAUAACCUCUCUGUGCUUCAUCUGGAAAACGGUGACCACAAAAGCGUGCAGCUCUUGUGCUCUCGGGUUGCUGGGGGCCUUCCAUGGAUGGGGUGUGCUAAGCUCUCAGCGCUUUGCCUCAAACAUCAUAAGUGCUCAGACCUGAGAUGUUGUUACUCUUCCCUCUCCCGUUGAUGAGGAUUUUUAGGCUGCUUAAUUUUAAAAUGGCUUAUGAUGAGGAUUUUUAGGCUGGUUAGUUUUAAAACUACAGAUGAGAUUCAGGCUCCAAGGAGUGGAAUUUGUUUGCCCCUUUGUUGGGAAACAUUUACAUUUCUAAGGGAAACCUCUAUCUGUGAAGAUGCCUCCCUCUCUGUGCCAGGAAGAAGGGGGAAUGGUCUUAUCUCUAGAAGCUCUUAAUGUGGAAGGCAAGAACUUAAGUUGGUUGCUGUCUGGCAAUCUCAUGUAACUGAUUUAGGGUGGUGGCUUCUGACCUUUACUUAAUCCGAUUUGAUUCUUGUCUAAAAGUCAUGGGAUCACCCAACGACCAGACCCCACCUGCACUGAUACCAUUUUAACUUUUUUACAUAUUCUUUGUCUUGUAAAGAGAUAACUCACAUACCUAUGCCUUAAAUUUAGCCCUAACCCUCAACUCGGGGCAGCAGCAGCUCUGACUGCCAGUGGGUCCUGUCCCCACACACCAGCUCUGCCUGCCCAUGGGUCCUGUCCCCAUGCCAGCAGGGGCAGCAGAAGCAGCAGCAGCAGCAACUCUGACUGCCCAUGGGUCCUGUCCCC
ensembl:lncRNA